GAUGAACGCUGGCUGCGUGCCUAAUACAUGCAAGUCGAGCGAUCAGACUCGGAGCUUGCUCCUCUGACGUUAGCGGCGGAUGGGUUAGUAACACGUGGAUAACCUACCUCUAAGACUUGGAUCACUUCGAGAAACCGGAGCUACUACCGGAUACUAUAUUGAACCGCAUUGUUCAUUAGUUUGUGACGGUUUUCCUGUCCCUGAUAGAUUGCUCCGCUCCGCAUUAGCUAGUUGGUAAUGUAACGGCUUACCAAGGCAACGAUGCGUAGCCGACCUGAGAGGGUGAUAGGGCACACGGGAACUGAGACACGGUCCAGACUCCUACGGGAGGCAGCAGUAGGGAAUGUUCCGCAAUGGGCGAAAGCCUGACGGAGCAACGACGCGUGAGUGAUGAAGGUAUUCGGAUCGUAAAACUCUGUUAUUAGAGAAGAACAAAUGUGUAAGUAACUAUGCACGUCUUGACGGUACCUAAUCAGAAAGCCACGGCUAACUACGUG
rnacentral:rRNA from 1 species